rnacentral:snRNA from 1 species
GGAUGUGAGGGCGAUCUGGCUGCAACAUCUGUCACCCCAUUGAUCGCCAGGGUUGAUUCGGCUGAUCUGGCUGGCUAGGCGGGUGUCCCCUUCCUCCCUCAAUGAUCCAUGUGCGUCCCUCCCGAAGCUGCGCGCUCGGUCAAAGAGGAUGACCACCCCCAAUAGAGGAGGACCGUUCCUCGGUCAAGGGUAUACGAGUAGCUGUGCUCCCCUGCUAGAACCUCCAAACAAGCUCUCAUCCACUUGUCUUUGAAUUCUUUUCCACAGUGUAAGCAGUACUUUUGGUGGCUAGCCAUUUAUCAUGCUCUCAGAAUGCUGUCUUC